CGACCCUCAAGCACUGCUUGGUGUUGGGCAUGGUCCCGGGGGACCUGCCCGUAACUUGUAGGCGGCCGCCGCCCGCGCCCCCAGCGUAGCAAGCUCACGCAUUCGCUCGGGGACGGCGCGUCUGGCCCGCCGGGCAAAACCCAAACCCUCCCAAGGU
rnacentral:misc_RNA from 1 species